UACUUACAUUGAAUCAGAAAUUUCAUGCGAUACAAGACGGAAUCCAAUAAAAACAAGUUUGGAGCUUCAUAGAUAUGUGUGUGAAAAAUUUCUGCGAAAAUGGAGACAGAAUCCAGUGUAAUGUGUGGGAAGCUGCAGUACAGUGACUAUUGUUUGUGCAAGAUCAUGGUUAAUGAGGAAAGUGACACUGUAAGGAGUUGGCAUGAGAGGGGAAACAUAGGGGACAAAUCGCAGGAGGUGGUGAUUAAAUAUUGAGGGACAAAACUUUCACUUUCUUGAAGAUGAGAAAACCUACCUGUGUCAGCUAGUUGAGUGCUGCUCAGAGGGUCCAUCAUGGUUCUUUAAGCAUAUGCAUGAAUGCAUUUUGAAAUUUGGACACCUCCACAAGCCCCAUGAAACUGACUGUGCAUGCCUGGUCUGGUGUCUUAAUGCAGAGGAGAAGGCGAUGGUUCCAUCCUUUACAUGAUGACUGUCCAAAAGUAACAAUACAUAUACACAUGUUAUACACGAAAAUGUACAUUAAAAAAAAAAGGAUACUUUUGAAGGAGAGCGGUCGAAGGCAAUGAGCCACGCACCCAUGUCCAGGUACUCCUAACCCAUACCUGCCAUCAGAAAA
rnacentral:lncRNA from 1 species